GCCGUCCAAUGGCAAGUUUUUUAACAAUGUACAAAUUUUAAGUUUUGUUGACAAACAUUGGACAGGGAUGAGGUCUGACGAGAGCUAUCCGUGUCCUCGGGCAGGCCAUUCGGCUUCUGUUAUUGGUAAUAUCAUGGUUAUAUUUGGAGGAGCACAGAGUGAAAAAAGGUCAGAUUUGUAUUAAGUUCAGCUCACUCGAUCAGCAUGUUUGACGCCGG
rnacentral:lncRNA from 1 species